GAGAAUAUGAGGAUUUAGCAAAACUUGUGUGGUGGUAUGUGAAAGAGUAGAAUUUGGACUUCGGUCAUAAGCAAACUCACCCUGAGGUUUUGGCAAAUAUUUAAGGUUUUGGCCUUAAAGCUUCUGCUCCCCCUACAAGCAGCUACUUGAGGGCUUUAAGCCGACCUAAGGUAGGGGUUGGAGAAGGGAAUGGCAACCCACUCCAGUGUUCUUGCCUGGAGGAUCCCAGGGACAGGGGAGCCUGGUGGGCUGCCGUCUAUGGGGUCGUACAGAGUCGGACACGACUGAAGCAACUUAGCAGCAGCAGCAAGGCUAUGAAUUGACUCUUCUUCAGAGGAAAAAGGCCAAUGAUAUCCUGACAACCGGAAAGAAUGCCAUUCUCUUGGCUGAUAGUCUGCAUGUGGAGGAACAACAUUUCACACACAGAUGGAAGGGAAAGUUCAUCCUCCUCAGUAUAACUGCUCCUAUGGCAAAAAAAGGUCAUUUAAUCACAUGGGAGCGGCUAGACAAGAUGAUAAUAUAAAGCAGGAUUCUGUGUGCUUCUAAAUCAUCGGGGCUUUAUCAGCUGCCCCUACACCACUCAAGGAUGGGAAACCCUGAGACAGUUAAACAGAAACAUCAAAGAAUAAAGGAUGGAUGUGCCUGUUGUCCUUUUGUAUAUUUUCACAGAUAUGGCUUAGUUCUUGCCUCUAAAAUGAGAAGAACAGCAGGUUACCUUUCUAUGAGCAGUUGUGUUCACAACUGAAUCUGAAAUCCAGGGAGAAAUUCACUUUCUCACUUUAGUUUUGGUGCAAACAGAAC
ensembl:lncRNA